rnacentral:rRNA from 1 species
AUGAACGCUAGCUACAGGCUUAACACAUGCAAGUCGAGGGGCAGCAUGGUCUUAGCUUGCUAAGGCCGAUGGCGACCGGCGCACGGGUGAGUAACACGUAUCCAACCUGCCGUCUACUCUUGGACAGCCUUCUGAAAGGAAGAUUAAUACAAGAUGGCAUCAUGAGUUCACAUGUUCACAUGAUUAAAGGUAUUCCGGUGAUGGAUGGGGAUGCGUCUGAUUAGCUUGUUGGCGGGGUAACGGCCCACCAAGGCGACGAUCAGUAGGGGUUCUGAGAGGAAGGCCCCCCACAUUGGAACUGAGACACGGUCCAAACUCCUACGGGAGGCAGCAGUGAGGAAUAUUGGUCAAUGGACGAGAGUCUGAACCAGCCAAGUAGCGUGCAGGAUGACGGCCCUAUGGGUUGUAAACUGCUUUUAUAAGGGAAUAAAGUGAGUCUCGUGAGACUUUUUGCAUGUACCUUAUGAAUAAGGACCGGCUAAUUCCGUG